GAGAGUAUAGUUCAAUGGUAGAGCGUAUGCUUAGCAUGCACAAGGUCCUGGGUUCAAUCCCCAGUACCUCCA
rnacentral:tRNA from 1 species